rnacentral:lncRNA from 1 species
CUAAGAAUGCUACCUUGUUUAGCAGUAUUUCUGCUUUGUUUUGAAAACAGAGAAACGUGAAAUCUCCAAUCUGAGGGAAAGAUUCAUGAUGAUGAUCUGGGAGCUGCUAAAUCACCCACCUGCUUCCCCAGCUGACCAACAAAGAGGUAGAAUAUCAUACAGGAGUGAGUUGAUGCAAGAUGGAGAGAGGAGAAAGAAAAGGAGCCUACCAAGAAAUAGCAGCACAAAGGACAGUGAACAAGAUCAUGUUGUCCAGAUGCCAAUUUCAGGAAAAACAGCUGUCCAGAUUUUAGGGAGAAAACUACUUCCUCAAGGCACCUGGAGUGAGGCUAGUCCGAUUUCAAACCCACUUCACAUCCCAAGCAUUGCGUGGAAGUAACCUCCACAGCGUGAAUUCCACAAGAUAUUCACCAUGUUGAAGAGAAGAAGAAAGAAAAGAAGAAAAUACAGAUAUUUACAACAUCCAAGAGACAGUUCUUGACAUUGAUUAAAAGACAUUUCUCAGUGCAGGGAUGAUUUAUUAAAAAAAGGGUACUGAAGUUUCUUCUAAAUGAAGUUACCUUACAUUUAUCUGUCAUAUAAAUGUGCUUUGAUUAACCUGUUUGAAAAUGAUAGAGAAAUAGAACCCAGCGCCAAUUUAAUAACUAAUAUUCCUAUUACCUCUGCCUGUGAGAAAGCCUGUGGGAGAAAGAAAAAGCACUGGACAUUUUGUAAUGUUCACCAUGUAAAACUUUGUUCUCCCAAGUCCUGUUUGUUCAAAAACCUGUCAUGCAAAAAUGUUGCAAAUCUCUAGUCUGCAAAAUAUAUACAACCAUAGUGUUUGGCAGACCUUGGGGAACUUCCAGCAAAACAGUUUAAUUGGAAAAUGCCAUUUCAUUAAACCCAAACUCUUACUCCAGAUCUCUACAGCUGAGCAAAUACCUAGUGCUCUUAACAAUGAAUCUGACAAGGACAUGAGUUUUACUGAACAAAUGUAAGGGUUGGGAUGGUUUGUAUAAAUCAUUAACAUUUAUUUUUAGAUUUUAUUUUUCUGGAAUGGGAAAUGCUGAACUUCAGCUCAAUCUGGACAUUGGCAGAAGGAUCACUUGUUGCGUGCCUUUCUCUAUCACUUUAUUUCCUGGCUAGCAUGCAUCCACGUUAGUAACUAUUGAGCUCCUCAAAGUUAUCAAUUACUUAAUAAUUGAAAAAAAACAUAUAUAAAAAAAACACACACACAAAAAUGAGGCUCUUAAAAUACAGACUGAUAUAUAAUUAAUAGGGGCCUAGAUGGAGUGGAGGAAAAGAGGUAUUCUCUUUCAUUUUCUAUCACUUAACUUCAUACACAUCAGCUUUUUUGGUAUCCUAAAAGUUGCAACUAUAUGGUACAACAAAAAAAGGGGCUCAAUGCAUGUCCUGAAUCAGACUCUGAUGAUUAGAAAUGUUGCUUCUAUGGAGCAUGGCAAUGAAGAAAUAAAAUUUAGGUAAAAUUCUGUUCA